UACAGAGGGUGCGAGCGUUAAUCGGAAUUACUGGGCGUAAAGCGUGCGUAGACGGUAGCGUAAGUCAGAUGUGAAAGCCCCGGGCUCAACCUGGGAAUUGCAUUUGAGACUGCUCUGCUCGGGUGCGGAAGAGGGAAGCGGAAUUUCCGGUGUAGCGGUGAAAUGCGUAGAUAUCGGAAGGAACACCAGUGGCGAAAGCGGCUCACUGGACCACAACUGACGCUGAGGCGCGAAAGCUAGGGGAGCAAACAGG
rnacentral:rRNA from 1 species